AUUGAACGCUGGCGGCAGGCCUAACACAUGCAAGUCGAGCGGGGUUUUCGGACCUAGCGGCGGACGGGGUGAGUAAUGCGUAGGAAGCUACCCGAUAGAGGGGGAUACCAGUUGGAAACGACUGUUAAUACCGCAUAAUGUCUACGGACCAAAGUGUGGGACCUUCGGGCCACAUGCUAUCGGAUGCGCCUACGUGGGAUUAGCUAGUUGGUGAGGUAAUGGCUCACCAAGGCGACGAUCUCUAGCUGGUUUGAGAGGAUGAUCAGCCACACUGGAACUGAGACACGGUCCAGACUCCUACGGGAGGCAGCA
rnacentral:rRNA from 1 species